rnacentral:rRNA from 1 species
UGGGCAACCUGCCCCUAGCUCUGGGAUAACUCCGGGAAACCGGGGCUAAUACCGGAUACGACCUCGGAGGGCAUCUUCUGGGGUGGAAAGUUCUUCGGCUAGGGAUGGGCCCGCGGCCUAUCAGCUUGUUGGUGGGGUCACGGCCCACCAAGGCGACGACGGGUAGCCGGCCUGAGAGGGCGACCGGCCACACUGGGACUGAGAUACGGUCCAGACUCCUACGGGAGGCA